rnacentral:rRNA from 1 species
CGCAGCCGCGGUAAUUCCAGCUCCAAUAGCGUAUAUUAAAGUUGCUGCAGUUAAAAAGCUCGUAGUUGAAUUUCGGGAUCAAUAUGUUGGUCGUGCCUCGGUACGUACUAGCUUAUUGGUUUCUCCCUUCUGACGAACCAUGAUGUCAUUUAUUUGGUGUUAUGGGAAAUCAGGACUGUUACUUUGAAAAAUUAGAGUGUUUAAAGCAGGCUCACGCUUGAAUACAUUAGCAUGGAAUAAUGAAAUAGGACGUUUGAUUCUAUUUUGUUGGUUUCUAGGAUCGACGUAAUGAUUAAUAGGGAUAGUUGGGGGCAUUAGUAUUCAAUUGUCAGAGGUGAAAUUCUUGGAUUUAUUGAAGACUAACUACUGCGAAAGCAUUUGCCAAGGAUGUUUUCAUUAAUCAAGAACGAAAGUUAGGGGAUCGAAGACGAUCAGAUACCGUCGUAGUCUUAACCAUAAACUAUGCCGACUAGGGAUCGGAUGAUGUUAAUUUUUAAUGACUCAUUCGGCGCCUUACGGG